rnacentral:rRNA from 1 species
UCGGCUAGGGGGCCAUCCCGGCUUACCAACCCGAUGCAAACUGCGAAUACCGGAGAAUGUUAUCACGGGAGACACACGGCGGGUGCUAACGUCCGUCGUGAAGAGGGAAACAACCCAGACCGCCAGCUAAGGUCCCAAAGUCAUGGUUAAGUGGGAAACGAUGUGGGAAGGCCCAGACAGCCAGGAUGUUGGCUUAGAAGCAGCCAUCAUUUAAAGAAAGCGUAAUAGCUCACUGGUCGAGUCGGCCUGCGCGGAAGAUGUAACGGGGCUAAACCAUGCACCGAAGCUGCGGCAGCGACGCUUAUGCGUUGUUGGGUAGGGGAGCGUUCUGUAAGCCUGCGAAGGUGGCCUGUGAGGGUUGCUGGAGGUAUCAGAAGUGCGAAUGCUGACAUAAGUAACGAUAAAGCGGGUGAAAAGCCCGCUCGCCGGAAGACCAAGGGUUCCUGUCCAACGUUAAUCGGGGCAGGGUGAGUCGACCCCUAAGGCGAGGCCGAAAGGCGUAGUCGAUGGGAAACGGGUUAAUAUUCCCGUACUUGGUGUUACUGCGAAGGGGGGACGGAGAAGGCUAUGUUGGCCGGGCGACGGUUGUCCCGGUUUAAGCGUGUAGGUGUGUGUUCCAGGUAAAUCCGGUUCACUUUAACACUGAGGCGUGACGACGAUUUACUCAUGGAGCUGAAGUCAGUCGAAGAUACCAGCUGGCUGCAACUGUUUAUUAAAAACACAGCACUGUGCAAACACGAAAGUGGACGUAUACGGUGUGACGCCUGCCCGGUGCCGGAAGGUUAAUUGAUGGGGUCAGCGCAAGCGAAGCUCCUGAUCGAAGCCCCGGUAAACGGCGGCCGUAACUAUAACGGUCCUAAGGUAGCGAAAUUCCUUGUCGGGUAAGUUCCGACCUGCACGAAUGGCGUAAUGAUGGCCAGGCUGUCUCCACCCGAGACUCAGUGAAAUUGAACUCGCUGUGAAGAUGCAGUGUACCCGCGGCAAGACGGAAAGACCCCGUGAACCUUUACUAUAGCUUGACACUGAACAUUGAGCCUUGAUGUGUAGGAUAGGUGGGAGGCUUUGAAGUGUGGACGCCAGUCUGCAUGGAGCCGACCUUGAAAUACCACCCUUUAAUGUUUGAUGUUCUAACGUGGACCCGUUACCCGGGUUGCGGACAGUGUCUGGUGGGUAGUUUGACUGGGGCGGUCUCCUCCUAAAGAGUAACGGAGGAGCACGAAGGUUGGCUAAUCCUGGUCGGACAUCAGGAGGUUAGUGCAAUGGCAUAAGCCAGCUUGACUGCGAGCGUGACGGCGCGAGCAGGUGCGAAAGCAGGUCAUAGUGAUCCGGUGGUUCUGAAUGGAAGGGCCAUCGCUCAACGGAUAAAAGGUACUCCGGGGAUAACAGGCUGAUACCGCCCAAGAGUUCAUAUCGACGGCGGUGUUUGGCACCUCGAUGUCGGCUCAUCACAUCCUGGGGCUGAAGUAGGUCCCAAGGGUAUGGCUGUUCGCCAUUUAAAGUGGUACGCGAGCUGGGUUUAGAACGUCGUGAGACAGUUCGGUCCCUAUCUGCCGUGGGCGCUGGAGAACUGAGGGGGGCUGCUCCUAGUACGAGAGGACCGGAGUGGACGCAUCACUGGUGUUCGGGUUGUCAUGCCAAUGGCACUGCCCGGUAGCUAAAUGCGGAAGAGAUAAGUGCUGAAAGCAUCUAAGCACGAAACUUGCCCCGAGAUGAGUUCUCCCUGAGACUUA